CUGGGUAAGUCGGGGCCUAAGGCGAGGUCGAAAGACGUAGUCGAUGGAUAACAGGUUGAAAUUCCUGUACUAUCCUGUAACAGAACUGUGGGGACGCAGACAGAGAGCACAAGCCGGGAAUGGAAAGACCGGUGCAAGCGAGGUAGGAGUACAUCAGGCAAAUCCGGUGUGCAAUCCGAAGACGUGAUGCGGAUCGAAAAGAAGUAGAGAAGUGUGUGAGCUGGCUGCCAAGAAAAGCCGCUAUUGUUUACAGGAUACCCGUACCGUAAACCGACACAGGUGGAUGAGGAGAGAAUCCUAAGGCCGACGGGAGAAGCAUUGUUAAGGAACUCGGCAAAAUGACUCCGUAACUUCGGGAGAAGGAGUGCCAUGCGAAUGGCCGCAGAGAAUUGGCUCAAGCAACUGUUUAGCAAAAACACAGGUCUAUGCGAAACCGAAAGGUGAGGUAUAUGGGCUGACGCCUGCCCGGUGCUGGAAGGUUAAGGGGAGAGGUUAGCGCAAGCGAAGCUUUGAACUUAAGCCCCAGUAAACGGCGGCCGUAACUAUAACGGUCCUAAGGUAGCGAAAUUCCUUGUCGGGUAAGUUCCGACCCGCACGAAAGGCGUAAUGAUUUGGGCACUGUCUCAACAAUGCACCCGGUGAAAUUGAAAUACCAGUGAAGAUGCUGGUUACCUGCGCCAGGACGGAAAGACCCCAUGGAGCUUUACUCUAGCUUGAUACUGGGAUUCGAUAUUGCAUGUACAGGAUAGGUGGGAGACUAGGAAGUGGUGACGCCAGUUGCCAUGGAGUCAAUGUUGGGAUACCACCCUUGCAGUAUUGGGUUUCUAACCAGCAGCCGUGAUCCGGCUGGGGGACAAUGUCAGGUGGGGAGUUUGACUGGGGCGGUCGCCUCCGAAAGGGUAUCGGAGGCGCUCAAAGGUUCCCUCAGAAUGGACGGAAACCAUUCGAAGAGUGCAAAGGCAGAAGGGAGCUUGACUGCGACACCGACGGGUGGAGCAGGUACGAAAGUAGGACUUAGUGAUCCGGUGGUAUGAAAGUGGGAUUGCCAUCGCUCAACGGAUAAAAGCUACCCUGGGGAUAACAGGCUUAUCACUCCCAAGAGUUCACAUCGACGGAGUGGUUUGGCACCUCGAUGUCGGCUCAUCGCAUCCUGGGGCUGUAGUCGGUCCCAAGGGUUGGGCUGUUCGCCCAUUAAAGCGGUACGCGAGCUGGGUUCAGAACGUCGUGAGACAGUUCGGUCCCUAUCCGGCGUGGGCGUAGGAUAUUUGAGAGGAGCUGUCCUUAGUACGAGAGGACCGGGAUGGACUGACCUCUGGUG
rnacentral:rRNA from 1 species